AAGACUAUAGACCUGCGGAGUACCUGCGGAAGGAUCAUUACAGAGUUAUCAAACUCCUAAACCCUUUGUUAAUUUACCUAUUUGUUUCUUCGGCAGGUGGUCCCUGGGAGGGUCCUGCAGCCUGUUAAGGUACCUGCCGAAGGUCAUAACUCGGUUUUACAUUAUGUGUCUAAGUCUUACUAUAAAAUAAGUCAAAACUUUUAACAACGGAUCUCU
rnacentral:misc_RNA from 1 species